UUGACCUAAGUGACAUUUAUAGAACACUCCGCCCAGCAACAGCACAGUACAUAUUCUUUUCAAUUGCACAUGGAACAUUCACCAAGAUAGGUCUCAAUACAUUUAAAAGGAUCAAAAUUAUGUUAAACAUGAUUAACAAAACAGAACAUUUUGUAGAAGAGCUAGAGGAUUAAGUAAAAAAAAAAUUCCUAGAAUACGAAGACACUAAAAGAGUAUAUAAGUGAAAAAUUGAGGGAGGAUACUGUGCCAGGAAGUACAGUGUCUACUAGAAGUUUCAGAAAGAGGAAACAGAGAAAAUCAGGGGCUGGGAUGUGAGAAUGAAGAAGUAAAAGAAGAACAAGUUCCCAGAAGAAAGUAUCGAGAUUCAAAAUCUCAUGGUAUCAGAGGCGUUUGAACCAGAGCAACUUCAUCUUGAGUAGGGGCGGGGUAAAAUGAGGCUGAGACCUACUGGGCUGCACUGCCAAUGCCAAUGGUGAAGGCAUUCUAAGUAAUAGGAUGAGAUAGGAGGUCAUCACAAGAUACAGGUUGUAAAGACCUUGCUGAUAAAACAGGUUGCGGUAAAGAAGGCAGCCCAAAACCCACCAAAACCAAGAUGGCAACCAGAGUGAUCUUGGUCGUCCUCACUGCCACACUCCUGCCAGCGCCAUGACAGGUUACAGAUGCCAUGGCAAUGCCAGGAAGUUACUUAAUAUGGUCUAAAAAAGGGUGGCAUGAAUAAUCCGCCUCUUGUUUAGCAUAUAAUCAAGAAAUAACCAUAAAAAUGGGCAACCAGCAGCGCUCGGGGCUGCUCUAUGGAGCAGCUUUUCUUUAGUCCUUUACUUUGCUAAUAAACUUGCUUUCACUUUACUGUAUGGACUCGCCCUGUCUCUACAAAAAAGAAAGAAAAAAAAAGUGACAGUAAAAUAAAGGCUUUUUAGGCAUGCAGAAACUCGCUCCCUCUGUACCUGUCCUGAAAAAAUGACUGAUAUCAGACAUGGUAGCCCUGUGAAGGUGUAGCCCUGCAAAUUGAAAUGGAAUCCAAGAGGCCGGGCGCGGUGGUUCAUGCCUGUAAUCCCAGCACUUUGGGAGGCUGAGGUGGGCGGAUCACUUGAGGUCAAGAGUUCAAGACCAGCCUGGCCAACAUGGUGAAACCCCGUCUCUACUAAAAAUACAAGAAGUUAGCCUGGCAUGGUGGCGGGUGCCUGUAAUGCCAGCUACUCGGGAGGCUGAGGCAGGAGAAUCACUUGAACCCAGGAGGCGGAGGUUGCAGUGAGCCGAGAUCGAGCCAUUGCACUCCAGCCUGGGGAACAAGAGCGAAACCCCGUCUCAAAAAAAAAAAAAAAAAGAAAGAAAAAAGAAAUGGAAUCCAAGGAGCAAGGUGUGGAACCCAAGAAGCAGAGAAAUUAACCCAGGAAUCAAUGAAACGAAAACAGCUUUGCCGCAGGUCCCCCAAAACAAGAGGUCAGAAGGAGAAAAAAAUGGAUUCCAUGCAACAGCUAGCAUUAUUACAAAGGGGAAAGACCUCAGUCAUAUGGUGAAGAAAAUGACACGUUUCUUAAGAAGGAAAAACAACAACAACAAAACUCCAGGUAAAAAAGAAAUCUAAUAUUAUCAUGUCCUAAAUAAGGUACAAACUCAAAUCUGGCAUUAUUUUAAUUAACUGAUGUAGUAUAAGAGAAAAUCCAUUUUAUAUUGCUGCUUAGAAUAUUCCUUUUUGAGUAACACAGGCUGACUGACAUAGGAUUAUGUCUUUAAGUCCAUUUCAUUAGGUUUACAGUAACGAUGUUUAUAUAACCAUAAUGUUGUGAAUACUUCCUCCCCGAACUCAUAAGCUCUGGGUUUUAUAUAUUACUAACCUAAAGCCAUGUAUCAGUGGCUUUGCUUGAGCAAAGGAUCAUUUGGACCCAGAAAGCUUAUUUUCAAGGCAGCUUUCAAAAAGUCAAGUGGCAGGGCAGCACUGUUCACAUUUUGAUGUGCACCUCCCCAUCAUCUCC
rnacentral:lncRNA from 10 species